rnacentral:rRNA from 1 species
GUGGCAGACGGGUGAGUAACAUGUAGGUAUCUACCCUUUGGCCUGGAAUAACACGAGGAAACUUGUGCUAAUACCGGAUAAGUCUUUACGGAGAAAGCUUUAUGCACCAUUGGAUGAGCCUGCACUUGAUUAGUUUGUUGGUGGGGUAAUGGCCUACCAAGACUUUGAUCAAUAGCUGAUUUGAGAGGAUGAUCAGCCACAUUGGGACUGAGACACGGCCCAAACUCCUACGGGAGGCAGCAGUGGGGAAUCUUGCACAAUGGAGGAAACUCUGAUGCAGCGAUGCCGCGUGAGUGAAGAAGGCCUUUGGGUUGUAAAGCUCUUUCGUCGGGGAAGAAAAUGACUGUACCCGAAUAAGAAGGUCCGGCUAACUUCGUGCCAGCAGCCGCGGUAAUACGAAGGGACCUAGCGUAGUUCGGAAUUACUGGGCUUAAAGAGUUCGUAGGUGGUUGAAAAAGUUAGUGGUGAAAUCCCAGAGCUUAACUCUGGAACUGCCAUUAAAACUUUUCAGCUAGAGUAUGAUAGAGGAAAGCAGAAUUUCUAGUGUAGAGGUGAAAUUCGUAGAUAUUAGAAAGAAUACCAAUUGCGAAGGCAGCUUUCUGGAUCAUUACUGACACUGAGGAACGAAAGCAUGGGUAGCGAAGAGGAUU